GUGGGGAAUUUUGGACAAUGGGCGCAAGCCUGAUCCAGCAAUGCCGCGUGUGUGAAGAAGGCCUUCGGGUUGUAAAGCACUUUUGUCCGGAAAGAAAUCUCCUGGGUUAAUACCUCGGGGGGAUGACGGUACCGGAAGAAUAAGCACCGGCUAACUACGUGCCAGCAGCCGCGGUAAUACGUAGGGUGCGAGCGUUAAUCGGAAUUACUGGGCGUAAAGCGUGCGCAGGCGGCUAUGCAAGACAGAUGUGAAAUCCCCGGGCUCAACCUGGGAACUGCAUUUGUGACUGGAUGGCUAGAGUGCGUCAGAGGGAGGUGGAAUUCCGCGUGUAGCAGUGAAAUGCGUAGAGAUGCGGAGGAACACCGAUGGCGAAGGCAGCCUCCUGGGAUGACACUGACGCUCAUGCACGAAAGCGUGGGGAGCAAACAGGAUUAGAUACCCGAGUAGUCC
rnacentral:rRNA from 1 species